rnacentral:lncRNA from 1 species
AUGGCCGAUCCCUUUCCAUUGGGAAGAGAAUUUUUUCUGGAUUUCCUGUGUCACUAUUGUCAAUGUCCAUCAAGUUUUAAGGAAGCUGAUCUUAACAAAUAGAUAAGAUCAUUAAGGGUCUUGUCAUAGUCUGUUUCAUAGGUGUCCCAAAGGAACUCACUAUGUGACUUAGAAAGUGAUUGAAUCACCAACUUUCUAAAGACUUUGACACCCAACUCUCCGGGUUUGUCAAAAUGUGACUACAUCUCCAAGAUGUGACCACACCUUGCCUUGCCAAUAGGGCUUGAGUGACCUUAAACUUUUCAAGAACUUGUGGGUUGGGGAGAAUAAUUGGAGGAGGUGAAAGAAGUAUGAUUUCCAUGGGAAUUCAUCAUUUUGAUUUAGGAAAGCUUGUUUCAAGAGAUUUGGGAAGAUCAUAAAUGUCUAAACCAGACAUGUUUUUGGGAGAUAUUCAAGAUAGUUGAUCUUAAUUCCUUAAUAUGACACCCAAUAUGAAAUAUUAAGGCUAGGACCCAACAAACUAUUUUAUAACUUAGAAGAGGUAUGCCGUAAUCAAGCUAUAAAAUCGUUUGAAAGUAGGUGAGUGACGAUUCACCAAUUUCCACCAAGAUAAACGAAAUGUAUUAUUAGGUUUUAACUGGUUUUGAAACUGUUAGAUCUUUUUAGAUUCAUUGAACUGUUCAAUGACAUGUUUCAAUCUCGAGUUGCCCUUCAGGUUUUGUGACUGGGAUGCCGAGGAUCACAAAACAAGGUGUGAAGUAACCAUGCAAAUCACUUGGUACCCUUAAUAAAUUACCCCUCAAUCGAUGUGCCGGUUAACCACACACGCUCCAUCGAUACUAUGAUAAAUAUUAAGUCACCCUUUACCUACCUUGUUAAGUCCAAGUUAGUGUGCCGGUUAACCACACACGCUCCACUAACGACUUAGACAAAGUGUAAAGUGUAAUUUCAUGGAUUAGCACCUUAUUCACAUUUUUCCUAAGUAACUAAGAUUGGGUAUUAUUAAGAGUUUAGUUACUUAGUAUUAUCAUUAAUACUUUUAAUGAAGGGAGAAUUCUAGUCCUGUCAAACCCGUUCGGCUAACGACCCUCCACCAGUCAAGCAAGCGGUGGGUGAGAGUGGACACCCAUUAAGUUGCCAUUUUAUAGGCAACAACCUUAUACCCACCUUAUAGACCGGCUUCGUGAAUGAGGCGUACUAGCGGUAAGACUGACUUUACUCUUAUACAUAUAUAUAUUAUUAACUUAUAAUAUUAUAAAGUAUAAGGGUUGAAUUUUAACUUUUAAAAUUCUAAGGGCUAACUUGGAAUUAAAGUAUUCAUAAGUGAAAACUUUACAAAUUCCAAAACUUGAGGGCAAGUUUUGAAACUAUUCAAAACUAAUUAAUUCCAUAACUUAUGUGUUUAAAGUAGUUUUAAUCCAAAAACUCUUCAAGUUCCAUAACUUGAGGACAAGUUAUGGAAGACUUUAAACUAAUAAAAGAAUUAACUUUUCUUUAUUUUAUAACUUAUGGAAUUAAUUAAGGUUACACUUUUUUUUAUUUAUUAUUUAAUGAAGAGACUCUUGGUCCUCCAUAACUUGAGGACAAGUUAUGGAGUCAUAAAACCAUUUAAUUAGAACUAGACUCUUCAUUUUUGUAACCUUUGCCAACUUUUAUGAGUUUUAUGAAACUUAAAUGUGACUUUUCAUAUAACUUGAGGACAAGUUACAAAAACACAUUUUAGAAUCAACUCUUAGAUUAAUUUGGAUUGAAAACAACUAUUUCACUCAACUUUCUAUUAAUCUAAGCAACUCAUAAGAACAAGAUAAUUCAAAUAAAACUUUUUCAUGUAAUUAGUCUAAACCUUAAACUAAUACAAAAGAUGAAUAUAUUGACAAUUAUCUUUGGAAUUGGAUUAGCAUGAACAUUACCACACCAAAAAUAAGUUUAUAAGUCCAAAAAUAUCUUAGGGUAAUGUUCCUAGUCCAAUUCCAACCAAAAAAGUCGAAUUUAUGCUGUCUGGGGUUCCAACUCGUCGAGUGCACGAACCAACUCGGCGAGUUGGGUGCAUUUUGUCUUUGACUCGGCGAGUCCUUUCAUGGACUCGUCGAGUCUGCUGGACAGACAACAUCAGAACUCGAUUAUACAUGCAAGUAUAACAAGAAAACAAGCCUACGCUCUGAUACCACUGCUGGGUAUUGAGCAUUCCAACACUCCUAAGUGCACAUGCAACCCUAAAUACCUUGGAUCUAUGUUUUCUCUAUUAUACAUGCAAAUAAGAACUUCCAAUGUAUUAUCCUAAUCUAGCAUACAAAAUAAUGGAUACAAUAAGAUAGAAUACAUACCUCUUUGAUGUCGAAAGUCUUCAUGAAGCUUGAGUGCCUAGUGCCCCAAGUGUGACACCUCAAAUGGUUCGCACAACACCAAAUGCACUUGGAAUAACUUGAGAGAAGUCUACACUUCAUGAAAUCGGCUAGCCCUUCCUUUUUUAUCUCUAGUGGCCGAUUUUGAUCAUGAAUAAGAUGCAUAUAUAGUUAGGGUUACACCAUGUAAACCCUAAUUGACAUGGCCUUUCAUUUCCAUGAUCCAUGGGUACAAAUACACCAUGGAGCAUCCAUGGAGCAUCAUAUGGGUUUUAUCCCAACUAGAUAAUACAUGGACCAUUAGCCCACUAUAUAAGUAUGGAUGAUUUACACAAUCAAUCCAUAUAUUUAAUUAGUCUUCUUUUGAUCACUUAAUUAAUCCUAGAUUAAUUCUUGAUCAAUACAAAUUAAAUAAUCUUAUUAUUCUUAUUAUUAAUAUACUAGAACUUAUAAUAUAUUAAUAACCAUAAGUGUCUUAUUCCUCUCAUUAUAGUUUAUCCAAAUGCAUGAUGCCAUGUAACCGAAAUGGACCAUGCCAUGUCGGGUCAAGUCUUACCAAUUAUAGUUAUGGACUUAGACAUUAAUCCAACAGUCUCACAUAAAGACUGAACCAGUCUUUUGGUAUAACAUUUCCAAUUCUAUUUGCCAAGUUCUCAUAAUUCAGAUUAUAAAAAGGGAUGUCGUAAUCAUAAUCGAAUUUUAGAACGCAAAUAAUGGACUCAUAUACAAAAUUUCCUUAUGUUGAGCCAUUCCAACAUGAAAUUCAUAUAUAUAUAUUCUUGACUAAAUGAUUAAAACCUCACGAUCUAAGCUUAUAGAUUUGAGAUGAAGUAUAAUUUCCUCUCCCUUAAUUAUAGCAAAACAACUUUUUCCCAAUUGAAACUUUUGUUUUCUAUAAUUAACAUUGCUAACUUGCAAUACUUAUCAUAAUUAUCAUGCUCCCACUAACAUGAUGAUUAUUAGCAUAACACUUAUGCUCCCACUAGCUUUGACAUGUACUCAGAAAUCAGCUGGACAGUCUGAAAUUUAGAUUCAUACACCCUUUCCGUAGAUAGCUCACCUGUGUGUCUAAGCAAUUUCAAGAACCAUGAAAAGGGAUACCGUAAUCAUGGUCUCAAUUGCUUAGGUAUUUGCCACUUCUCACAAGUCCAUGUUAGUGUGCCGGUUAACCACACGCGCUCCACUAACGACUUUGAGAAUGCAAAUAUCACAAUUGCUAUCUAGAUAAAAUCUACUUAGUGAAAGUGUUUCCUCACCAUCAUUUUCAUGAAUCGGAGAGAAACCUUAUGACACUUAGAUUUAUAUGGUGUAUGAGUUCCUACCCAUAUGAAUUUGUCAAACCAUAAUCACAAGACAAAGAUAAUGACAAAUCCAAAACCAUAUGGAUUGAACUCAAUCUUAACUUCUUGCCACCUGGCAGCUCAAGGGCCUGCCAUUGCUUCCAAGUUGUUAUGCAACAAACUGAGAACUCUAAGAACUUUCUGCAAAGCCAACUUUAACUGGAAUGGGCACAGAGUAUGUAAACACGAUAGGUUAUAAACCUCAAGUCGUGUGCUAGUGAAGAACUUCAGGUUUUAUUCUUGAUUAGUUCUUGAGACUUUCAAGACCUUUAAGACUUUUACUGUCCUGUUGACAUAUAAGACUUUCUUGUCAGAUAUUCAAGAGAUAGUGUGGGUUCUAAUCAAGACAACCACUUCACACAAUUGGCCUAAGUUGGUCUUUGUUUUAUCCAAAACAUCACAACUUACCAAUUUCAAAUGUACAAGAGUAGAAAACUUUUACUCUUACAUUUGACAAGUGUUUUAAACCUUCUUUAAGACAUGUCACUCAAGUUACAAUCUUGGAGUAUGACUCUAAGACUUGUAUUGGAACGAAGUAUGACUCAUCUUCUUGAUUUAACCAUUUCAACAAUUCAAGUUCCUCUUCUUAGUCAUAAGAAUGCACUAAGAUUUCCUUAGAGAACUAAUUUUGAUAUGGUUUCUUAAUCAUUAAGAUGAUCACAAAACUGAUACUAAAGUACUCUCCCAUCUUUUCAGAUUUGAGAAACUGUUAUCCUUCUGCUUAGUUUGAUUCUUCUUAUUCGCUCUACCUUACAUUGGAACCUUUUCCAAUGUCUCAGAAUUACACUUAAGCUUGUAAGUGUAACCAUAUUUAUUGUGUUUUAGUAAAUUAUGACGAAUAAUCUUAUCGAUCUUUUUUGGUGGACUUGACCAGUGCACAAGAAUGUGUACUCGAUCCCUUAGUCCUUCACUUGACUCACACAUCCAUGUAGACAAGUAAUUAAUCUUAAUUUUCCAAUACUUGAAAGUUCUCAUUCAUCAUGCUAUACCCCUUGCAUCAUUCCAAGUCCCGUUCCAAUUGAAACUUGGGUGAUGAGAAUCUUUCCUUAUUUGGUAAAUUUAGACAUUACCACAAAUGAAAGAAUCAAUUUCGUAUUUCCACUCUUGCUAUUAAUGGAAUCGUAUAAGUAACAAUUUUUCUUCAAAUGCCAUUGUAAGGAUAUUUUAAAAUAAAUAAAAUCAAAAAUUUUCUUUUUAUUUUAAAACUUUGCGGAAAAACUUAUCCUUACAAUCCAUAUGAAAAAUUGUUGUUAUCUAUUCCUAAGCAAUAUCUCAUAACUCCUGAGAAGUAGCUCAAGAAUCCGAUCUUCAAACUAUGCGAUAGAAAUCCAUCUACGCCAUCAGAUUCAGCAUAUUCUUUCUUUAAGUUUCUUCACUUUUCUUUGAUUCUUAAAACAUCACCAUGUGACCCAGUCACAUCAUGUAUCAAGAAUCUCAGAAUAGAAACUUAGCAGAGUUAGAUAGUGGACUUUACCUGAAGUAGAGUCAAACUUAUUGACUUUAACACACUUAGGUAAAAUUGGCAGCUUCGCAACCAAUGCCCUUCCUUUGGCAAUAUAAAUGUAUGGACCCUUUAAUAAUGGUACAAGGGACUAUCACAGAUUUAGCUUUUUCUCUUUAACAUUUGGUCAACCGAGUUGACUAUGGCCGAUCCCUUUCCAUUGGGAAGAUAAUGUUUUUCUGGAUUUCCUGUGUCACUAUUGUCAAUGUCCAUAAAGUUUUAGGAAGUUGAUCUUAACAAAUAGAUAAGAUCAUUAAGGGUCUUGUCAUAGUCUGUUUCAUAGGUGUCCCAAAGGAACUCACUAUGUGACUUAGAAAGUGAUUGAACCACCAACUUUCUCAAGACUUUGACACCCAACUCUCCCGGCUUGUCAAUAUGUGACUACAUCUCCAAGAUGUGAUCACACCUAGACCUUGCCUUGCCAAUAGGGCUUGAGUGACCUUAAACUUUUCAAGAACUUGUGGGUUGGGGAGAAUAAUUGGAGGAGGUGAAAGAAGUAUGAUUUUCAUGGG